rnacentral:rRNA from 1 species
AUAAACGACUCUCGGCAACGGAUAUCUCGGCUCAUGCAUCGAUGAAGAACGUAGCAAAAUGCGAUACUUGGUGUGAAUUGCAGAAUCCCGUGAACCAUCGAGUUUUUGAACGCAAGUUGCGCCCGAAGCCAUUUGGCCGAGGGCACGUCUGCCUGGGCGUCACGC